CGCAAGAUUAAAACUCAAAGGAAUUGACGGGGGCCUGCACAAGCGGUGGAGCAUGUGGUUUAAUUCGACGCAACGCGAAGAACCUUACCUGGCCUUGACAUGCAGAGAACUUUCCAGAGAUGGAUUGGUGCCUUCGGGAACUCUGACACAGGUGCUGCAUGGCCGUCGUCAGCUCGUGUCGUGAGAUGUUGGGUUAAGUCCCGUAACGAGCGCAACCCUUGUCCCUAGUUGCCAGCACAUAAUGGUGGGGACUCUAGCAAAACUGCCCGUGCAAACGGUGAGGAAGGUGGGGACGACGUCAAGUCAUCAUGGCCCUUACGUGUAGGGCUACAC
rnacentral:rRNA from 1 species